CAGGGCCCGUUCCAAGUGCAGUUUGAGAAAAGUGCUCUCCACGAGAAACGGGAGACCGCACAGAAGAAGAAGUCGAAGACGGACGAUCUUGCCAGCACAAAGCUCGAGAGGGAUUACUCCACGUACUCAACACAGACCACACAGCUUCCACAGCUGAGGGGGACCGACAGUCAGCUGCCGCACCUCAAGGGUGCUGAGAGGGCUGAAGGUAAAACAGCGAAGGAGCACAAGAAGGAUAAGAGUAAGAAGGUGACCAUCCCUCACAUUGCCAACAUUGACCCUUUCCACACACAACAAACCUCACAUAGCCAGCAUCGGCCAUCGUCAGAUUCUCCCACUCACGAAGAGGUGAGUAAAACUGCAGGACACGGAGAAUCCAACCUACCGUGGGUGUAAUGAGCAUGCUGCCCACCCCCGCGGACCAACAUGGUGCUGGCCAUUUCAACCCAGUGGAAUGUUCCAUUAUGACUUUGUAGGUAGAGCACAUCCAACAGGAGCUGAGAAAAAAAGUGUGUGCUCUUCCUGUAGAAUUAUAUAUCUGAAAUAUUGCAAUUCCGUACAGGAAAUAUUGUCAGCUGCUAUGUACAGAUUCUACUGUUAAUCUGUGAAAACUCUAAAGCAGAAAGCGUAAUGACAAUCAUGUGUACUCUAUGCACAGUAGGAUAAAAGCCAUGGGUUAAGACUCGCUUAAUUCCUUUUUUUUUUGCUCCCAUUAUUUAGAAGUAGCAGUAUGAAGGUGCAAGUCCUUUCUUUGGGGGGGGGGGGUGAUCUCAGAAGUAU